rnacentral:misc_RNA from 1 species
UCUCCGUAGGUGAACCUGCGGAGGGAUCAUUACUGAGUGAGGGCUUCGGUCCGACCUCCAACCCUUUGUGAACACAUCUUGUUGCUUCGGGGGCGACCCUGCCGCUUCGGCGGUGCGGCGCCCCCGGAGGCCUUCAAACACUGCAUCUUUGCGUCGGAGUUUAAGUAAAUUAAACAAAACUUUCAACAACGGAUCUCUUGGUUCUGGCAUCGAUGAAGAACGCAGC